rnacentral:rRNA from 1 species
UGCGUAGGUGGCGCCGUAAGUCAGGUGUGAAAUCUCGGGGCUUAACUCCGAAACUGCAUUUGAUACUACGGUGCUUGAGGACUGGAGAGGAGACUGGAAUUUACGGUGUAGCAGUGAAAUGCGUAGAGAUCGUAAGGAAGACCAGUGGCGAAGGCGGGUCUCUGGACAGUUCCUGACACUGAGGCACGAAGGCCAGGGGAGCAAACG